rnacentral:rRNA from 1 species
UACGUAGGGGGCAAGCGUUGUCCGGAAUCAUUGGGCGUAAAGAGCGCGUAGGCGGCCCUGUAAGUCCGCUGUGAAAGUCAAGGGCUCAACCCUUGGAUGCCGGUGGAUACUGCAGGGCUAGAGUCCGGAAGAGGCGAGUGGAAUUCCUGGUGCAGCGGUGAAAUGCGCAGAUAUCAGGAGGAACACCGAUGGCGAAGGCAGCUCGCUGGGACGGUACUGACGCUGAGGCGCGAAAGCGUGGGGAGCAAACAGG